UGGAUGGAAUUAGAAAGUAUCACCCCAAGU
rnacentral:piRNA from 1 species